rnacentral:rRNA from 1 species
GAUGAACGCUGGCGGCGUGCCUAAUACAUGCAAGUCGAGCGAACGGACGAGAAGCUUGCUUCUCUGAUGUUAGCGGCGGACGGUUUAGUAACACGUGUAUAACCUACCUAUAAGACUGGGAUAACUUCGUGAAUCCGGAGCUAAUACCGAGUAAUAUUUUGAACCGCAUUGUUCAAAAGUGAAAGACGGUCUUGCUGUCACUUAUAUAUGGAUUCGCGCUGCAUUAGCUAGUUGGUAAGGUAACGGCUUACCAAGGCAACGAUGCAUAGCCGACCUGAGAGGGUGAUCGGCUACACUGGAACUGAGACACGGUACAGACUACUACGGGAGGCAGCAGUAGGGAAUCUUACGCAAUGGGAGAAAGCCUGACGGAGCAACGCCGCGUGAGUGAUGAAGGUCCUCGGAUCGUAAAACUCUGUUAUUAGGGAAGAACAUAUGUGUAAGUAACUGUGCACAUCUUGACGGUACCUAAUCAGAAAGCCACGGCUAACUACGUG